rnacentral:rRNA from 1 species
GAGUUUGAUCAUGGCUCAGAAUGAACGCUGGCGGCAGGCCUAACACAUGCAAGUCGAACGGGUGUCUUCGGGCACUAGUGGCGGACGGGUGAGUAACGCGUGGGAACAUACCCAAAGGUACGGAAUAGCCUCGGGAAACUGAGAGUAAUACCGUAUGUGCCCUUCGGGGGAAAGAUUUAUCGCCUUUGGAUUGGCCCGCGUUGGAUUAGGUAGUUGGUGGGGUAAUGGCCUACCAAGCCGACGAUCCAUAGCUGGUUUGAGAGGAUGAUCAGCCACACUGGGACUGAGACACGGCCCAGACUCCUACGGGAGGCAGCAGUGGGGAAUCUUAGACAAUGGGGGAAACCCUGAUCUAGCCAUGCCGCGUGAUCGAUGAAGGCCUUAGGGUUGUAAAGAUCUUUCAGAUGGGAAGAUAAUGACGGUACCAUCAGAAGAAGCCCCGGCUAACUCCGUGCCAGCAGCCGCGGUAAUACGGAGGGGGCUAGCGUUAUUCGGAAUUACUGGGCGUAAAGCGCACGUAGGCGGAUUAGAAAGUCAGAGGUGAAAUCCCAGGGCUCAACCUUGGAACUGCCUUUGAAACUCCUAGUCUUGAGGUCGAGAGAGGUGAGUGGAAUUCCGAGUGUAGAGGUGAAAUUCGUAGAUAUUCGGAGGAACACCAGUGGCGAAGGCGGCUCACUGGCUCGAUACUGACGCUGAGGUGCGAAAGCGUGGGGAGCAACAGGAUAGAUACCUGGUA